rnacentral:rRNA from 1 species
UACGUAGGUGGCAAGCGUUUGUCCGGAAUUAUUGGGCGUAAAGCGUGCGUAGACGGUCAUGUAAGUCGGGUGUGAAAGCCCCGGGCUCAACCUGGGAAUUGCAUUCGAGACUGCAUUGCUGGAGUACGGAAGAGGAGGGCGGAAUUCCCGGUGUAGCGGUGAAAUGCGUAGAUAUCGGGAGGAACAUCAGUGGCGAAGGCGGCCCUCUGGUCCAGUACUGACACUCAAGUGCGAAAGCGUGGGGAGUAAACAGG